AACGCGAAGAACCUUACCUAAGCUUGACAUCCUUUUGACCGAUGCCUAAUCGCAUCUUUCCCUUCGGGGACAGAAGUGACAGGUGGUGCAUGGUUGUCGUCAGCUCGUGUCGUGAGAUGUUGGGUUAAGUCCCGCAACGAGCGCAACCCUUGCCUUUAGUUGCCAGCAUUAAGUUGGGCACUCUAGAGGGACUGCCAGGGAUAACCUGGAGGAAGGUGGGGAUGACGUCAAAUCAUCAUGCCCCUUAUGCUUAGGGCUACACACGUGCUACAAUGGGUGGUACAGAGGGCAGCCAAGCCGUGAGGCCGAGCUAAUCCCUUAAAGCCAUUCUCAGUUCGGAUUGUAGGCUGAAACUCGCCUACAUGAAGCUGGAGUUACUAGUAAUCGCAGAUCAGAAUGCUGCGGUGAAUGCGUUCCCGGGUCUUGUACACACGC
rnacentral:rRNA from 1 species